rnacentral:rRNA from 1 species
AGAGUUUGAUCCUGGCUCAGGAUGAACGCUAGCUACAGGCUUAACACAUGCAAGUCGAGGGGCAGCAUGAUUGAAGCUUGCUUCAAUUGAUGGCGACCGGCGCACGGGUGAGUAACGCGUAUCCAACCUUCCGUACACUCAGGGAUAGCCUUUCGAAAGAAAGAUUAAUACCUGAUGGUAUGAUGAGAUUGCAUGAUAACAUCAUUAAAGAUUUAUCGGUGUACGAUGGGGAUGCGUUCCAUUAGGUAGUAGGCGGGGUAACGGCCCACCUAGCCGACGAUGGAUAGGGGUUCUGAGAGGAAGGUCCCCCACAUUGGAACUGAGACACGGUCCAAACUCCUACGGGAGGCAGCAGUGAGGAAUAUUGGUCAAUGGACGAGAGUCUGAACCAGCCAAGUAGCGUGAAGGAUGAAGGUCCUACGGAUUGUAAACUUCUUUUAUAAGGGAAUAAAACCUCCCACGUGUGGGAGCUUGUAUGUACCUUAUGAAUAAGCAUCGGCUAACUCCGUGCCAGCAGCCGCGGUAAUACGGAGGAUGCGAGCGUUAUCCGGAUUUAUUGGGUUUAAAGGGAGCGCAGACGGGUCGUUAAGUCAGCUGUGAAAGUUUGGGGCUCAACCUUAAAAUUGCAGUUGAUACUGGCGUCCUUGAGUGCGGUUGAGGUGUGCGGAAUUCGUGGUGUAGCGGUGAAAUGCUUAGAUAUCACGAAGAACUCCGAUUGCGAAGGCAGCACACUAAGCCGUAACUGACGUUCAUGCUCGAAAGUGUGGGUAUCAAACAGGAUUAGAUACCCUGGUAGUCCACACGGUAAACGAUGGAUACUCGCUGUUGGCGAUAUACGGUCAGCGGCUUAGCGAAAGCGUUAAGUAUCCCACCUGGGGAGUACGCCGGCAACGGUGAAACUCAAAGGAAUUGACGGGGGCCCGCACAAGCGGAGGAACAUGUGGUUUAA